rnacentral:ncRNA from 1 species
AACUGUUGAGGUGGGAACCGCCACCCCACGCACUUGGCCGCAAAGCCAAGUAAUUAACCGCCGUAAGGCGGCCAAGAGAUCGCGGUUGGCAACGCGCGACAGUU